AAUCGGAGCGAAGGAAAUCGACAACGAGCCUUUUUUUACAUUGAACAGCGAAGGAGACAGGCCAGCGGGUGAGCGGGGGAUUAGGAGAUCCAGAAGAAUACAAGUUAGGGUUCUUCAAUUCAAUAUCCGGCAACCACCCCCUCCCCCCCGAUUACUCUCUCUCUCUCUAUCGGGACCAACGUCUGCCGGGCAUAGUUUUCUCCGACCACUCAUUUGAUUCAAUAUUGGAAGCUCUUUCGAGUUUUAUUCACAGCAACAAGUAAUGGAGGAUGUGAAACAUAAAUCCAGGAAGGAGGAUACAGAGAGGAAGGAGGAAUCCAGGAAGAGUCACCGUGACCAUGACCGUGGUCAUCAGAGGGAAAGAGAUAAGGAGAGGAAUGGAGAGAGGCACAAGGACAGAGAGAAGAGACACAGGGAAAGCAGGCGUUCUCAGAGAGAGAAGAGUAGUGAUUCUGAUGAGGUACAUGAGAAGGAGAAGGAGAAGCACAGAGACAGGGACAAGGAUAGAGCUAGAGACAAGAGGAGAGAUAGAGAAAGAGACAGGGACUUAGAAGGUAAGGAUAAGGAGAGGACGAAAGAGAGAGAAGAAAAGAGGAAGAGGGCUAGGGAGAAGGAGAGGGAGAGGGAGCGAGAACGGGAGAAGAGGGAACGUGACAAGGAGGAGCGGGAAAGGGAGAGGAGGGAACAUGACAGAGAAGAACGAGAGAGAGAAAUGGAGAAGAGGAGAAGGGAAAGGGAGAAACGUUGUGAGGUUGACAGUGAUAUUAGUGAUGGCUCUAGGGAUCGUGACAGGAAGCGGCGCUGGAGCGAUGAUAAUGACUACAGGGAGAGAGAGCGUGAACGUAGCAUUAGCAGGUCACAAAGGCGCAAGGAGGACACUGAGGAGAGCCCAAGAAAAAGAAGCAGUGAGGAUGACUCAGAUAAGAAAGAAAAAACCCGAGAAGAGGAAAUAGAGGAUGAACAACAGAAACUGGACGACGAAAUGGAGAAGAGGAGGAGGAGAGUUCAAGAGUGGCAAGAGUUGAAGAGAAAGAAGGAGGAAUUUGAGCGAGAAAAGCACGGGGAAGUGGACGCAGAUGAACCCAAGGCUGGUAAGACCUGGACUCUUGAAGGAGAAUCAGACGAUGAGGAGGCGCCUCUUAUAGGGAAAUCAGAGGCAGACAUGGACAUAGAUGAGGAUGCCAGUACUGGAAAAGAAGUUGGAGACACAAUGUUGGUUGACUCUGAACACGGGACAGCUGCACCUCUGCAAAACGGAGUCGAUAUUGUUGUUGGGGAUGAGGAAAUUGAUCCAUUGGAUGCUUUCAUGAAUACUAUGGUCUUGCCUGAGGUUGAAAAGCUAAGUUAUACUGUGGUUCCAUCAUCUGUCGGUGAUAAUCAUAUGGAACCGACAAAGGAGAGGAGGGAACAGACUAGCAAUGGUGAAAAGCCAAAGAGAGGUUCCAAUAAAUCACUGGGAAGAAUAAUUCCGGGUGAGGAUUCUGAUACAGAUUAUGGGGACCUUGAGAAGGAUGAGAAUAAUUUAGAAGAUGAAGAUGAUGACGAGUUCAUGAAAAGAGUAAAGAAGACAAAAGUUGAGAAAUUAUCCCUUGUUGAUCACUCAAAGAUGGACUAUAAACCAUUUCGAAGAAAUUUCUAUAUCGAGGUGAAGGAGCUUGCAAAGAUGACUCCUGAAGAGGUUGCGGUUUACAGGAAAGAAUUGGAAUUGAAGAUUCAUGGAAAGGAUGUACCAAAACCAGUGAAAUCCUGGCACCAAACAGGACUUCCAAGUAAAAUUUUGGAGACUAUAAAGAAGCUUACCUUUGAAAAGCCAACGGCAAUUCAAGCACAGGCACUGCCAGUUAUUAUGAGUGGUCGGGACUGCAUAGGUGUUGCAAAAACUGGCUCAGGGAAAACUCUGGCAUUUGUACUUCCAAUGUUGAGACAUAUAAAGGACCAGCCUCCUGUGGAAGCAGGAGAUGGGCCUAUUGGGCUCAUAAUGGCACCUACAAGGGAGCUUGUCCAGCAAAUUCACAGUGAUAUAAAGAAGUUUGCGAAGGUAUUGGGUAUUAGAUGUGUGCCUGUGUAUGGCGGUUCUGGUGUUGCCCAACAGAUCAGUGAAUUAAAACGGGGGACUGAGAUUGUUGUCUGUACUCCUGGUAGGAUGAUUGACAUUCUGUGUACUAGUGGAGGAAAGAUCUCAAAUCUGCGUAGGGUCACCUAUUUUGUUAUGGAUGAAGCUGAUCGAAUGUUUGAUAUGGGUUUUGAACCUCAGAUCACUCGAAUUGUCCAAAAUAUUAGGCCAGAUCGUCAGACUGUACUGUUUUCUGCCACUUUUCCUCGACAGGUUGAAAUUUUGGCUCGUAAAGUAUUGAGCAAACCUGUUGAACUACAGGUUGGUGGGAGAAGUGUGGUGAAUAAGGACAUAACCCAGUUAAUUGAGAUGAGGCCAGAGAAUGAGAGGUUCUUAAGACUUUUGGAACUAUUGGGUCAAUGGUAUGAGAAAGGAAAGAUUUUGAUAUUUGUGCAUACCCAGGAAAAAUGUGAUGCUUUGUAUAAAGAUUUGGUUGACCGUGGUUACCCUUGCCUCUCUCUUCAUGGGGCUAAGGACCAAACAGACCGUGAAUCCACCAUUUCUGACUUCAAAAGCAAUGUCAGCAGUGUUUUGAUUGCAACAAGUGUUGCAGCCAGGGGUUUAGAUGUGAAGGAGCUCGAACUUGUGGUAAACUUUGAUGUUCCAAACCAUUAUGAAGAUUAUGUUCACCGUGUUGGUAGAACUGGCCGAGCUGGUCGUAAAGGUUGUGCCAUUACUUUCAUAUCUGAAGAGGAUGCUAGAUAUGCACCAGAUCUUGUAAAAGCUUUGGAACUUUCUGAGCAAGUUGUUCCUGGUGACCUGAAAGCCCUUGCAGGUAGUUUUAUGGCAAAAGUGAAUCAGGGGCUUGAGCAAGCUCAUGGAACUGGUUAUGGUGGAAGUGGCUUUAAAUUCAAUGAAGAGGAGGAUGAGAAGAGGAAAGCGGCAAAGAAAGCACUGGCAAAAGAAUAUGGUUUUGAGGAAGACAAGUCAGAUUCAGAAGAUGAAGAUGAAGGAAUCAGGAAGGCAGGUGGUGAUAUCUCGCAGCAAGCCACCCUUGCUCAGAUUGCUGCCUUUGCUGCUGCCUCCAAAGCCAGUACAGCUUCACUGCAGACUCCUAUUACGGCUACCCAAUUGCUACCCAAUGGUGGACUACCUGUUUCUCUGCCUGGAGUAUUAAACCUUGCAAUUCCUGGUACAGCUGCUGUUGUGCCUGGGACUGGACUGCCUCUUAAUCCCAAUGAUGGGGCAGCUCGGGCUGCAGCAUUGGCAGCUGCUAUCAACCUGCAGCAUAAUUUGGCAAAGAUUCAGGCUGAUGCAAUGCCUGAACACUAUGAAGCAGAGUUGGAAAUCAAUGACUUCCCCCAAAAUGCUCGGUGGAAGGUCACUCACAAGGAAACAUUAGGUCCUAUUUCAGACUGGACUGGAGCUGCUAUUACCACCAGGGGGCAGUAUUUCCCUCCAGGCCGGAUACCAGCACAAGGAGAUCGCAAGCUCUAUUUGUUCAUUGAGGGUCCUACUGAGCAGUCUGUUAAGAGAGCUAAAGCAGAAUUAAAACGUGUUCUAGAAGACAUUACAAACCAGGCAUUGUCACUUCCAGGUGGAGUUCAACCAGGCAGAUACUCAGUUAUAUAGUGGAUGAUUUAAGCCUAUGCCGGCAUAUCCACUGUAUUCUCUGUCCAUUACCUUUGCCAUCGUGGCUCUUGAAGAGGUGGCGAUCUGGUGCGAUGCUUUUGCUUUCCUGCCUCCUCCCCCGGUUGAUUAACAUUAUGAAGGGUUUUAGAACUCCAGUAUGUUUCAAAGUUCCCAGAUCCCCAUUAUGUCGUCGUUGUUCUAAAUCUGGAAAGGAUGUUUAUUGGUAACAUGGUCGUGGGUGGCCUGUAGUUGAUAUGGCAACUGCAUUCGGCUGCGCUGCCGCUAAUCAUUAGUUAGAUGGUGGUUUGAAACUCUGCUUGAUGUUAAUGGUUAUCCAAGUUAUUUAGGCUUUAUGAUCUGAGGAUAAUCCUUUUGAAGUUCUCCUACAUCAAGGAUGUUUUGAAUGCCGCCAUGUAUGUUAUCUGCUUGAUUUUUGAUGGUUUUAGAUAUUAGUUUGAGUUUCAUUUUGUAUCCUGGAAAUGAUAAUUAGGUUGAGAAUUGGGAUGGGAAACUUUGCCGAAGAAUCAUUCUCUUACAAUGUAUUGUCAUCAUCCCCCCGUGGCUCGGACGAUGAUGAAUGUUUUGAUGUAUUGUCACCAAUUUGCAGUAAAAAGAAAGAUUCAUAAUUACCAAUCAAACAAUUUAUUGAUCA